rnacentral:rRNA from 1 species
CCUACGGGUGGCAGCAGUGGGGAAUAUUGCACAAUGGGGGAAACGCUGAUGCAGCGACGCCGCGUGAGUGAAGAAGUAAUUCGGUAUGUAAAGCCCUAUCAGCAGGGAAGAAAAUGACGGUACCUGACUAAGAAGCCGCGGCUAACUACGGGCCAGCAGCCGCGGUAAUACGUAGGGGGCAGGCGUUAUCCGGAUUUACUGGGUGUAAAGGGAGCGUAGAGGGCAGGGCAAGUCUGGAGUGAAAGGCGUGGGGCCAAACCCCGCACUGCUCUGGAAACUGUGCGGCUGGAGUGCGGGAGGGGUAGGCGGAAUUCGUGGUGUAGCGGUGAAAUGCGUAGAUAUUAGGAAGAACACCAGUGGCGAAGGCGGCUUACUGGCCUGUAACUGACGUUGAGGCUCGAAAGCGUGGGGAGCGAACAGGAUUAGAUACCCGAGUAGUC